UGGUCUCACGAGAUGCUGUGAC
rnacentral:piRNA from 1 species